rnacentral:rRNA from 1 species
UAGGGAAUCUUCCACAAUGGACGAAAGUCUGAUGGAGCAACGCCGCGUGAGUGAAGAAGGGUUUCGGCUCGUAAAGCUCUUUUGGUAGUGAAGAAAGAUAGAGGUAGUAACUGGCCUUUAUUUGACGGUAAUUACUUAGAAAGUCACGGCUAACUACGUGCC